rnacentral:ncRNA from 1 species
AUUUUCUCUUUCUUUUAGUUAAAAGGGGCGCAGAGUUCUUUUUUUUUUUGUGGAGAGGGAGAUUGGGGGUUAAUAUUUUAUUUUAUGGGGGAGGAUGGUGUGAAAAGAAGAAUUUGAUUUUUAUUUAUUUUUUUUGCUUUAAAGAUAAAGUACAUGUAAGUUUUUGUAGGAAAAAAAAAGUUUAAAAAAGGUUUUUAAGUUCGCAGUGCAUAAAGUUAAAUUUAUAAACGGAAGUUUGAUUUGGUAAUUUUUAAUUUAAUCUGACAAAAUUUGUGCCAGCAGUCGCGGCUAUACUUAGAGAUUAAGUGAAAAUUUAUUGGUAGUUGAUUAAUUGUUUAUUAUUUUUUUAUUAAAGUUUAAUGAAAAUAGUAAGGUAGAAUUGAUUUGUUUGUAAUUAAGGGGAGAAUAAGAAAAUAUUGAGAAAGAUGAGGGUGAGAAAUUUAAGAGAUAAACUAGGAUUAGAUACCCUAUUAUACUUAAAAAAAUUGGGAACACUGGGAGAUUAAUAGUUAUGAUCUUUAAAUUUAAAGAAUUUGGCGGUAUCUUAGUCCUGUUAGAGGAACCUGUCUUAUAAACGAUAAACCACGAAAAAUCUUACUUAUUUAAAAGAUUUAGUUUGUAUACCGUCAUUAUAGAGAACUUCAAGAGAAAAAAUUAGUUGUUAGAAUUACUUAUAAGUAGAGAUAUUAGAUCAAGGUGCAGUUAAUAAAUAAGGUAGGAUGGGUUACAAUAUUAAUUAAAAUAAACGGAAUGGGGGAGUGAAAGAUUAACCUCUCAUGAAGGAGGAUUUAAUAGUAAAUAGAUUUUUAAUAAGGUUUAUUGAUAAAGGCUCUAAGUUAUGUACAUAUUGCCCGUCGCUUUCGUUAUUAAAAUGAAAUAAGUCGUAACAUAGUAAAUAUACUGGAAAGUGUAUUUGG